UGAACCUCCAAGCGGCUCCCAAGGAAAAUGCAGGCGCUCUCCCAGCUGACGAGUUCCAGAGCGUGAGCCUGGGAGUGUGGCUCUGUGCGCGCAUGAUGACAGGGCACAAAAUCAACACUGUUGAGAGGCAAGUUGGAUCAAAGAAGUGGAGUCUUCAAACCAGCUCACUGAGGGCUCCAGCAUGCUGCAUAUGUGUUGGGUGAAAGAAGAAAGAUUUGCAGAUUUCCCAAGAAGCCACUGGAGGUACAGCAAGACUGACCACUGAGAGCCAGAGGUGUAGCCCGUGAAUCCAGAGCAUUGUUCCCAUUUUAUGGAUGCAGAAACCAAGGCUGCAGAGUGGUAUAUGUGACCAAGCUGGACUGUCAGACUCUAGCCCAGGGAGUCAUUGGGACAUUGUGAAGCUCCUUGACGUUCAACACCAAGUAGGCUGACAUGGAGGAGAACUCAUGCGGAGAGCUAGUACUCCAGG